AAUUCAGAUUUCAACAUGACUAUUUUAUUAAACAAGUAACUUAACUUAUCCACAAUAAGUGGAAAUACAUUAAAGAAGAACAAGGUAGAACUGAUAAGCGUUGAAGCGCUUGUUGAGAUAGUCAUAGACUUAUAUCCCACAAAGUAGUGGUUUUCAUUAUUCUCUUCCUUAUCUGCAAUCAUUUAAUUUCUUGAGACUAUUUAACCCUCAGGAAAAGGGGAAAAAACCUGGAGACGGAAGUCAAAAUAUACCUCAGGUCAUCAAUAGGCAAAUUAAGUAGGUGUCAGUCCUCUGGAAUUCAUGCUUACUUUUGAUGGAGAUUACUUUUGGUUUGUAAAUAUCAGAUAUGGUGAGAGACCGAUCCAACCAACCGAGCAUGAUUG
rnacentral:lncRNA from 1 species